UCCAUGAGCCAAUCGAAAGUCAUGUGAAUCGGUGCAGUAAAUGGAGUGAACAUGCUUCUCACUUUCAAAAGACACAAACAGAAUUAAAUGGGAAGAGCAGCGGCGACUACAGCGUUGCUAGAGGAAAACAUGUUAAUCAUUCAUCAUGAAAACCAAAAACUAUGAACAACCUUCAUCAUUUUUAGGAAAUGUUCCCAGCCCAAAAUCAGAAACGAGAAUUCCGAGAAAAAGAGACCCCUCUGCAAGGUGACGGCUCCCCCUUCUAAAACCUAGGACCAAAAAUGUCACUAAAAAUGGGGUGGGGUCCACCCAAAACCCUAGGGACAAGUCACCUUAUUUUUUCUAUUGGGCUUUUGCCUACUCUACAAAAUUAGCCCAAUUAUUACAAAACUUCAUUANCAAAAUCUAAAUCACUAAGCUAAGCUAGAUUAAAUCUAAUUUGCCUUGUGGAAAUUCUUCAAUUUGCUUGGUGCCCUUCCAAAAGUCCCAAAGUAUAGUUCCAAAAUUGCCCUGAAAAUAGAGAUAGGAAUAAUUAAGCUCAAAUAAUUCAAAUUAAUUAAAAUAUGAAUUAUUGGUCUAAUUAAGCCCAAAUGGUGAAAAUGACACAAUAACUAAGAAUUAAGCGCAAAUCAUCAACACAAUUCGGCGCGAAAAACUAAGUUAAUGGUAUAAAAUAUUGACUCAUCAAAAUAGACCACACUUAGUCUUUUGCACUCCUGGGCAAAAUCAAGACGCAAAACAGGGCACAGCAAUGAGGACAUCAGGAAGUGACACAGACACGACAGACAAACGACAACGACUCACAAGGACAACCACAGAGUUGCAUAGUUCUCACAAAAUCUGGACAGUGAAAGGCAUAGGCAGAGUUCCACAUGAAGUCAAUGAAAGCAGAUACUCACAGAAUCAUUCAAGCAGUUCAGUACAUGGAAAAUAGUCAAUCAGCUCGAGAGAUGAAUCAAAAGCAACAGAGCCUCACAGAUGCACAAAAUCGGUGUUUCUCUCAAGUGUUUAAGGUAAAUCAAUGUCACUCGAUGCACUCAAGAAAGCAAACACAAAUAGACUUGGCAAGCCUUUAAUAUCAACACUCAAGCACACAUGCAUGUUCAAAUCAAAAGGUCUUUUCAUGGUUGUAAUGGGACCAAGGAGAAGGGAGGAUAUCAUAUGGAUGAGAAGCUACAAACCAAAGGAAAUAGAGGAGCAAUGGGGAACAAGUGUAAACACAGUCAUAUCACACCCAAAACCUCUAAUUCAGUCCUCUUCUUGACUCCAUUAUUCACACAAUUUUUUUAUUUUUCCUCAUUUUUUCUGCAUUUUUUUUUCUUUUUUUUUCUUUUUUUUUUCAUCUUUUCUCUUUUCUUUUCUCUCUUUUCAGAACACAAUUCUAAGAGACAAGAUACAUGAUAUUUACAAUGCAACCGCAAGAAGAGGACUCACUAGCCAAUUCAUCUGCAACUCCUAAGAGACCACACUUAUUCCCAAAACAAUUCCAAAGCUCCAAAAUUCCGUAAGGUUCAGGUAAUCAUGGUUUUUCA
rnacentral:lncRNA from 1 species